rnacentral:lncRNA from 1 species
ACUCUUAGAUUCAUAUUCACAUUUUUUUCCCUUCAUAGACAAAAUUUCCUGUGGUCAGAGCUUUCAUUGUGAGCUACAUGGGGAUCAAAGAAGGUGCUGGGAGAAAACAAAAAGAAUUGGAAGCCAACUGCUUAACUUUGAGCACUCUUUCUCACUAGAGAAUUUUGGAGGAGACCACAGUGACAGUGGUCCUGCCAAGGACCCGUGACCAGAAAAGAGGAACUGGUAACAGACGGGGAUUCAGCAAAAGAAAGGAAACUGAGCUCCAGCAAGAUUCCUGCAAGUGUCGAUGUCUUCUUGACAGAAAAUUGCAACAAGAGAAAGGUCUGUUCCUUUUCGGAUUGACUGUUCUCAACACCAGAAGCCUGAGAGGAAAGUUGGAGCAUAUGUUAGAGACCCUGGCUGCUAGAAGCUGUGCCAGGAGAGGCAGCAUGCAACAAGGAAAGGAUUGUUUUUGGGGAGAAGGCCUGAGAGAGAGUGCAGAUGGGUCUGAUUUAAACAACAGCCUUAUUAAAGGCACACAUUAUAUUUGUUGAUUAUCAGCAAAUGUAAGUAUAUCGUUAGUGUCCCAAAUUAAUUAUCUGUUGCAAAAAUAAUAAUAGCUACAGCUGUUCUGCCUUUAAAAGAUGAAAUGGUCUGCUUGGAUAUGCAUGUCUGACAUGGCUUAUUUUCUUCCUGUGGCACUCAGAGUCUCUGAUGUUAGUGUUUCUUUUUUGUUAUGUAGACAUCUACAUGGGCUUUUUCCCCCUUUAAAUUUAUGGAACAUAUGCAGUACCCACUUCACCCAAAGCUAU